rnacentral:rRNA from 1 species
AGAAUGAACGCUGGCGGCAUGCCUAACACAUGCAAGUCGAACGAGAUCCUUCGGGGUCUAGUGGCGCACGGGUGCGUAACGCGUGGGAAUCUACCCUUGGGUUCGGAAUAACAGUGAGAAAUUACUGCUAAUACCGGAUAAUGUCGCAAGACCAAAGAUUUAUUGCCCAGGGAUGAGCCCGCGUAAGAUUAGCUAGUUGGUGGGGUAAAGGCCUACCAAGGCGACGAUCUUUAGCUGGUCUGAGAGGAUGAUCAGCCACACUGGGACUGAGACACGGCCCAGACUCCUACGGGAGGCAGCAGUGGGGAAUAUUGGACAAUGGGCGAAAGCCUGAUCCAGCAAUGCCGCGUGAGUGAUGAAGGCCUUAGGGUUGUAAAGCUCUUUUACCCGGGAAGAUAAUGACUGUACCGGGAGAAUAAGCCCCGGCUAACUCCGCGCCAGCAGCCGC